AGAGUUUGAUCCUGGCUCAGGAUGAACGCUAGCUACAGGCUUAACACAUGCAAGUCGAGGGGCAGCAUGGUCUUAGCUUGCUAAGGCCGAUGGCGACCGGCGCACGGGUGAGUAACACGUAUCCAACCUGCCGUCUACUCUUGGACAGCCUUCUGAAAGGAAGAUUAAUACAAGAUGGCAUCAUGAGUCCGCAUGUUCACAUGAUUAAAGGUAUUCCGGUAGACGAUGGGGAUGCGUUCCAUUAGAUAGUAGGCGGGGUAACGGCCCACCUAGUCUUCGAUGGAUAGGGGUUCUGAGAGGAAGGUCCCCCACAUUGGAACUGAGACACGGUCCAAACUCCUACGGGAGGCAGCAGUGAGGAAUAUUGGUCAAUGGGCGAGAGCCUGAACCAGCCAAGUAGCGUGAAGGAUGACUGCCCUAUGGGUUGUAAACUUCUUUUAUAGAGGAAUAAAGUCGGGUAUGCAUACCCGUUUGCAUGUACUUUAUGAAUAAGGAUCGGCUAACUCCGUGCCAGCAGCCGCGGUAAUACGGAGGAUCCGAGCGUUAUCCGGAUUUAUUGGGUUUAAAGGGAGCGUAGAUGGAUGUUUAAGUCAGUUGUGAAAGUUUGCGGCUCAACCGUAAAAUUGCAGUUGAUACUGGAUAUCUUGAGUGCAGUUGAGGCAGGCGGAAUUCGUGGUGUAGCGGUGAAAUGCUUAGAUAUCACGAAGAACUCCGAUUGCGAAGGCAGCCUGCUAAGCUGCAACUGACAUUGAGGCUCGAAAGUGUGGGUAUCAAACAGGAUUGGAUACCCUGGUAGUCCACACGGUAAACGAUGAAUACUCGCUGUUUGCGAUAUACUGCAAGCGGCCAAGCGAAAGCGUUAAGUAUUCCACCUGGGGAGUACGCCGGCAACGGUGAAACUCAAAGGAAUUGACGGGGGCCCGCACAAGCGGAGGAACAUGUGGUUUAAUUCGAUGAUACGCGAGGAACCUUACCCGGGCUUAAAUUGCAGAUGAAUUACGGUGAAAGCCGUAAGCCGCAAGGCAUCUGUGAAGGUGCUGCAUGGUUGUCGUCAGCUCGUGCCGUGAGGUGUCGGCUUAAGUGCCAUAACGAGCGCAACCCUUGUUGUCAGUUACUAACAGGUUCCGCUGAGGACUCUGACAAGACUGCCAUCGUAAGAUGUGAGGAAGGUGGGGAUGACGUCAAAUCAGCACGGCCCUUACGUCCGGGGCUACACACGUGUUACAAUGGGGGGUACAGAGGGCCGCUACCACGCGAGUGGAUGCCAAUCCCCAAAACCUCUCUCAGUUCGGACUGGAGUCUGCAACCCGACUCCACGAAGCUGGAUUCGCUAGUAAUCGCGCAUCAGCCACGGCGCGGUGAAUACGUUCCCGGGCCUUGCACACACCGCCCGUCAAG
rnacentral:rRNA from 1 species